CUCAUCUUGGUCUGACCGUCACUGUGAGAGACCCAGACCACCAGACAAUUGAUGUCUAAAAGAUAUGGCCGAAAGGGAAAAUUCACAUUUACAGCACAUGUCCUCUGGCCACACUUCCUGUGUAUGCAGUCCACUCCACACGCUUUGCAGUCUUUGCUGGGGACAGGCUGCGUCUGCACCUGGAUGUUCAAAUGGGAGAACACACCAUGGACCCAGGCACUGCUAAAGCGAAAGACACAGUUAAAACCAUGGAGUACAGUCUGCAGCAUAUAAUCGACCAAAUGCUGUACAUCAGCAGCAGCAGAACUUCCAGCGGGUAGCAUGUGGAUACUGUGAUAAAGCUGAGCUUAUGAUAAAAAUACAACAGCAUAUGGCCAUAUCAAUUUUACAAAUAAUGGAGGACAAAACCAAAAUAGCACAGAAUACAUAUUGUUCCUUACUGUUGGCAUGUUUAUCCCUAUAGUCGCAUGUGUCUUUGCCCUGGUUUUGAUCUCACUGCAAUAUCAACAUCAAUGUCACCCACAGUUCAAACCUGCUUUUCAUUUCUCCAUCUAGCUAGAACUGCAAAUGGAUUUCAAUAAUUCGUUUCAAAUCCAGACCUAUACAUACUUUUCCUAUGACGCCUACACUCUGUAAACUGUAGCCAUCCAAACUAACUAUCACUGAAAAUCCAUCUGUUUCUUUAGGAGCGGGAGAGACGUUUCGUCAAAUAAGUGAAAAAAGCAACGGAAAUAUUUGUGGGGGCUAUUCUACAAACUGCUAUUCUUCUCACCGUCGGCGUCUGGCAGAUGAAUGCGUUUGAAAGACUUCCUCAUUGAAAAGAAGCUUGUAUAAGAGAGACAAGUCUCUCCACUCCUUAUACUGCUACAAUCAACUAGACACAAAUAAAUGUUCUUGAUAACACCAAAACAACGCUUGUCUUGUUUG